UGGGGAAUCUUGCACAAUGGGGGCAACCCUGAUGCAGCGACGCCGCGUGAGCGAUGAAGCCCUUCGGGGCGUAAAGCUCUUUCGACCGGAACGAUAAUGACGGUACCGGGAGAAGAAGCUGCGGCUCACUACGUGCCAGCAGCCGCGGUAAUACGUAGGCAGCAAGCGUUGUUCGGAGUUACUGGGCGUAAAGAGUGCGUAGGCGGUUUUCUAAGUUCGGUGUGAAAUCUCCCGGCUUAACUGUGAGGGUGCGCCCAAGACUGGGAAGCUGGAGUGUGGGAAAGGCAGGCGGAAUUCCUGGUGUAGCGGUGAAAUGCGUAGAUAUCAGGAGGAACACCGGCGGUGUAGACGGCUUGCUAGACCACAACUGACGCUGAGGCACGAAAGCGUGGGUAGCAAACA
rnacentral:rRNA from 1 species